GUGUAUUUUAUAUUGCCAUCAAGGCCUUACUUAAGACCUGAAGUACAAUUUUUGGAGACCCUGUCCUUUAUUGGGCAGGGUG
rnacentral:snRNA from 14 species